rnacentral:rRNA from 1 species
GGAUGGCGAGUAAGUGGCGCACGGGUGACUAACGCGUAGGUAACCUACCCUGGUGAUGGGGAUAACACUUCGAAAGGGGUGCUAAUACCCGAUACGACAUUGGAGCGGGAGUUUCGAUGUGAAAGGAGGCCUCUUCUUAUGAAAGCUUCCGCGCCGGGAUGGGCCUGCGUCCUAUCAGCUUGUUGGUGAGGUAACGGCUCACCAAGGCAUCGACGGGUAGCUGGUCUGAGAGGAUGAUCAGCCACACUGGCACUGGAACACGGGCCAGACUCCUACGGGAGGCAGCAGUGAGGAAUUUUGCGCAAUGGGAGCCAUCCUGACGCAACAACGCCGCGUGGGUGAUGAAGGCCUUCGGGUCGUAAAGCCCUGUCGGGUGGGAAGAAUAUUGCGGGGAGGCGAAUAGGUUCUCGCAGUGACGGUAGCCACCAGAGGAAGCACCGGCUAACUCCGUGCCAGCAGCCGCGGUAAUACGGAAGGGUGCGAGCGUUAUUCGGAAUUACUGGGCGUAAAGGGCGUGUAGGCGGCUUCGUGUGUCCGAUGUGAAAGCCCCGGGCUCAACGCUGGGAAGUGCAUUGGAAACUGCGGGGCUUGAGUACCGGAGAGGAAGGGGGAAUUCCCGGUGUAGAGGUGAAAUUCGUAGAGAUCGGGAGGAAUAUCAGUGGCGAAGGCGCCUUUCUGGACGGUUACUGACGCUGAGACGCGAAAGCGUGGCGGAGCAAACAGGAUUAGAUACCCUGGUAGUCCACGCUGUAAACGAUGAGCACUAGGUGUAGCGGGUACUCAUUCCUGCUGUGCCGCAGCUAACGCGAUAAGUGCUCCGCCUGGAGAUUACCGGUCGCCAGACUAAAACUCAAAGGAAUUGACUGGGGGCCCGCACAAGCGGUGGAGUAUGUGGUUUAAUUCGACGCAACGCGAAGAACCUUACCUGGGCUUGACAUCCCCGGACAUAUCCGUGAAAGCGGGUCUUCCCCUUCGGGGGACCGGGAGACAGGUGAUGCAUGGCUGUCGUCAGCUCGUGUCGUGAGAUGUUGGGUUAAGUCCCGCAACGAGCGCAACCCUUGUCGUUAAUUGCCAGCACAUAAUGGUGGGGACUUUAACGAGACUGCCAAUUAAACAUUGGAGGAAGGUGAGGAUUACGUCAAAUCAUCAUGCCCCUUAUGAUCUGGGCUACAAACGUGAUACAAUGGCUGUGACAAAGAGUAGCUGAAACGCGAGUUUUUAGCCAAUCUCAAAAAAGCAGUCUCAGUUCGGAUUGAAGUCUGUAACUCGACUUCAUGAAGUUGGAAUCGCUAGUAAUCGCGAAUCAGCAUGUCGCGGUGAAUACGUUCUCGGGGUUUGUACACACCGCCCGUCAAACCACGAAAGUUAGCAAUGCCCGAAAGCAGUAGCUUAACUUCGCAAGAAGAGGGAACUGUCUAAG